rnacentral:tRNA from 1 species
GGGCGCUUAGCUCAGGGGGAGAGCACUUCCUUGACACGGACGGGGUCGGGCGUUCAAAUCGCCCAUCGCCCACCA